rnacentral:lncRNA from 1 species
GUCCUCACUCAGCAACCUGCAUAGCAAUAGAAGGCAGCACUCAGCUGGGAAGAUACCCCAUUUUCCCCAGAUUCUUCUAACUGGCCUUCACUCAUCCCAGUGUGCUCAGAUGAACAUUUGGACCUGCUAAGCAAUGUCAUUUACUACUGUCCUGUGCACAGGUUACUUGAUCUCUCUAGCCUUCAAUUUCUUCUGUUCAGCAGACAGACUGGAUCCGGAAUUGACUACGAGGCACUCCAGAAAAUAAUUCUUGGUCAGAUUAUUUAAAGUAGGGAAACCUAGCCUAAGUAUGAUGCCCAGAUAAAGGGGAUAGAAGAAGAAAGCAUUUUUCUUUUUGCCUGCUUGCCUUCACUCUUGCUGGCAAGUUCACCUACAUUGUUGUUGACACAUUCCUUCACUGAUAUUAGGACUCAGCUUUGGACUUUCACCAUGGACUGAAGGCCAGUGUUUCUCCAGGAUCUUCUGGGUCUUCAGUGCCAGAUUGGAACUUCUGAGGAAUCCAGCUAGUGGGAUGAGCAACUACCAGGUUGUUCUCUGGUGUGAGACAACCAUUGUUGGACUGCACAGACCAUAUCAGGCACAUGGACAUUCACAUGGUGUGAGGGAGUCUUGGCCAGGAGGAACCCAAGGAUUUCCAGACUAUUUACAAAAUAAACAAGCUGGCCACAAGGUGAAUGACCCAGAAAGUAACAACUACUGCCAACCCGAGUGGACAAUGACCACCAGGACCGGCUUCUUCCAUCUACUCUCUGGGGGGCUGGAAGGAUGGGUUCUUGGCACACUGCAGAACCCGCUAUCUAUUCCACCAAGCACCCAUCUGCAAAGCUGAGACUACAGGGUUCCUUCAGGAUCACUGAGAAGCUAUUUCCCUGAGAGAAGGGCCUCCACAGGGCAUGAGUUACUCUCUUCUGAUGGCUUCUGGACUAUCACUCCUUCCUCGGGCCUCUGGCUGGGUUGGAUCAUGUCCUCCCAAAAAAUGUUGAAGUCUCACCCACUGGGAUUGUAUUAGGGGGCCAAUGCACAUGUAAUUAGUAAAGUUGAGGUGCUGAAAUAUGUUUCCUGAGUGAUAUCACAAGUGAAAAUUAAAUCAUUGCUUCAUGUUACAAAAAGUAAACACCCAGGUGGGAAAGGAUGCUGAAGGAUGCUGAGCCUCUGGGAGAGGGAGAGGUUCUUGGUACUCCAGGCAGGACUCAGAGCUCUGCUCACCUUUACCAGUUCACUCUCAAUGGAUGGUGCUUCAGGAAGCCAAGGCAAUCUGGGUGAUUCCAGCUGAGCCUCCCCCGCCCCUCUCCACACACACCUCCUUAGCCUUGGGAGUGAUAUCUUCCCAAAUACAGCCAGGAACUGGAUGAGGCCUUGAAAUGACAAGGUCUAG